GAUGAACGCUGGCGGCGUGCCUAAUACAUGCAAGUCGAGCGAACAGACGAGGAGCUUGCUCCUCUGACGUUAGCGGCGGACGGGUGAGUAACACGUGGAUAACCUACCUAUAAGACUGGGAUAACUUCGGGAAACCGGAGCUAAUACCGGAUAAUAUAUUGAACCGCAUGGUUCAAUAGUGAAAGACGGUUUUGCUGUCACUUAUAGAUGGAUCCGCGCCGCAUUAGCUAGUUGGUAAGGUAACGGCUUACCAAGGCAACGAUGCGUAGCCGACCUGAGAGGGUGAUCGGCCACACUGGAACUGAGACACGGUCCAGACUCCUACGGGAGGCAGCAGUAGGGAAUCUUCCGCAAUGGGCGAAAGCCUGACGGAGCAACGCCGCGUGAGUGAUGAAGGUCUUCGGAUCGUAAAACUCUGUUAUUAGGGAAGAACAAAUGUGUAAGCAACUAUGCUCGUCUUGACGGUACCUAAUCAGAAAGCCACGGCUAACUACGUG
rnacentral:rRNA from 1 species